AUCGCUUCUCAGCCUUUUGGCUAAGAUCAAGUGUAAAAAUAUGUUCGCAGCAUAGUAAGUUUGUUUUUGCCCUUUGUCUUGUUCACUAAGGUGUAACUGUGUACAAUGAAUAAUAAUAUUUUCUUGACGUUGCAGUUCCUGGAAGUUCAUCUA
rnacentral:snRNA from 1 species